CCUACGGGAGGCAGCAGUAGGGAAUAUUGCUCAAUGGGGGAAACCCUGAUGCAGCAACGCCGCGUGGAGGAAGAAGGUUUUCGGUUUGUAAACUUCUUUUGUUAGAGAAGAAAAUGACGGUAUCUGACGAAUAAGCCCCGGCUAACUCCGUGCCAGCAGCCGCGGUAAUACGUAGGGGGCAAGCAUUAUUCGGAUUUACUGGGUGUAAAGAGCGCGUAGGCGGGAGUGCAAGUCAGAUGUGAAAGCCUAGGGCUUAACCAUCGGACUGCAUUGGAAACUGUUCUGCUGGAGUAUGGGAGAGGUAGGUGGAAUUCUUGGUGUAGCGGUGAAAUGCGUAGAGAUUAAGAGGAAUACUAGUGGCGAAGGCGGCCUGCUGGAACGUAACUGACGCUGAGGCGCGAAAGCGUGGGGAGCAAACAGGAUUAGAUACCCUAGUAGUC
rnacentral:rRNA from 1 species